GAUGAACGCUAGCGGCAGGCUUAAUACAUGCAAGUCGUGGGGCAGCAUGAGUAGCAAUACUUGAUGGCGACCGGCAAACGGGUGAGGAACACGUACACAACCUUCCUUCAAGCGGGGAAUAGCCCAGAGAAAUUUGGAUUAAUACCCCAUAAUAUAUUUGAUAAGGCAUCUUUUUAAUAUUAAAAGCUUCGGCACUUGAUGAUGGGUGUGCGGCUGAUUAGAUAGUUGGCGGGGUAACGCCCACCAAGUCUACGAUCAGUAGCUGAUGUGAGAGCAUGAUCAGCCACACGGGCACUGAGACACGGGGCCCCACGUCCCUAACGGGGAGGCCAGCAGUAAGGAAU
rnacentral:rRNA from 1 species